CGUACAACACGAGGGCUUCAUCAUCAACUCACUGACUAUCUACGUUUGACUGAAAAAAGCUAAAUAUUAUUGGAAGAUCUUGUGACGGUCCAUUCGUGGAUAUCCAUGUUUCUGCAAUUCUCAUUUUCGUGGCUUUACAUCUAUCAUCUUCUUUUUUUCGGAUAAUGGCUUCUCAUAUGAAAUAAUUAGAGAGCAUGUGAUGUGACCCACUAAAUUACAGAGGGGGCGUCUAAUAUAUGAC